UCGCGUUCUUCGAGUAGGCUUGAAAUGUUUCGUGGACUUGUACUAAUCGUUUGCUGCCUUGUACUUCAGCAAGCAGUAGGCUCCAAGGCUCAGAUUGUGCCCAAUAUUCUAGUACAAUAGAUACAAUUUUCAAUAAAGGAUAUCCUGAUAGGAGUAAUACAUCUGGAAUCAUCGAUAUUGGAAGAGCGCGGAGGAGCCCAAAAACGUCUAAUUUCGGACUAAACUGCGAUUUUGAUUUACCUCCAUCGGAGGAUGGAUAUAUCAGAUAUAUCAGUUCCUGAUAUCUACUGCGGAAUAGGUGGAUUUAACAUAACAAGUACUGCAAAAAUGUUAUCAGUAUCUGUGACUGUUAGACGGGGGUACUGCGGGAGAUACGUAUGUUUUUUUGUUGCUCACUAAACACUUAACUAACACUAAUAUGGUGAAAUAAAAUUGUAUAUGUGAGCGUCGAAAAUGCUUCACAUUUAUCAUGGCUCGAAA